rnacentral:rRNA from 1 species
CCAGGCUGAAGACUUUGCCGGAUUAGCUGAGAGGUGGUGCAUGGCCGUCGUCAGUUCGUACUGUGAAGCAUCCUGUUAAGUCAGACAACGAGCCAGACCCACGCCCACAGUUGCCAGCGUACUCUCUGGAGUGACGGGUACACUGUGGGGACCGCCGCUGCUAAAGCGGAGGAAGGAAUGGGCAACGGUAGGUCAGUAUGCCCCGAAUAUCCCGGGCUACACGCGAGCUACAAUGGUUGGUACAAUGGGUAUCUACCCCGAAAGGGGACGGGAAUCUCCUAAAACCAAUCUUAGUUCGGAUUGAGGGCUGCAACUCGCCCUCAUGAAGCUGGAAUCCGUAGUAAUCGCGUUUCAACAGAACGCGGUGAAUACGUCCCUGCUCCUU